ensembl:lncRNA
GGCUCCUCUGCCCAUGGGAUUUUCCAGGCAAGAGUGUUGGAGUGGGGUGCCAUUGCCUUCUCUGGUGAGGGACUGUAAGGAAGCAAAUCUAACAUAUUCCCCUGCCUGGGGCUUGCCAUACUAGGGGAAAUUUGCAAGGACUGAGUAGUCUUUUCCUUUGUUUCCCUACCUCCACCCCAUUUCUAACCCAUAAAAGAACCUGGCAACAGGCCCCAGCAAGAUGAUUAUUUGGAGGCACUAGCUUGUCAUUCUCUCAGUCAGCAGGUUCCUGAAUAAAGUCCCUUCCUAGUCUAGACGGGCUUCCCUCAUAGCUCAGUCAGUAAAGAAUCUGCCUGCAAUGCAGGAGACUUGGGUUUGAUUCCUGGGUGAAACAUGAAGUUUUUCUUUUCAUUUUUUCCUUUUGCUAGUCUAGACACCUCAUCUCAGAUUCACUGCAGCAAGCGGAGCAAGCUUGGACUUGGUAACAGAUGACGUCACAUGCCUUAUAUUAGACAUUUUGUUGUUUCCAUAGCACAAUUUUGGGGCAAGUAUAGUUUUUGUCUCUAAUUUACAGCAGUGUUAAUAAGCUGAUCUUCAGGGCAGUUGGUAAAUAUUUAAUGUCCCAAAGUACCGGUGCCUACAGAUGUCUGCAUACCCCGGUCGCCCAAGGAAACCCAUGGAAGGCUUAAUGCUUAGUAUUAGCUCUAGGGCUCCUGGGUUUCAACAAAUUAUACUAAUAAAUUCCUGAUGGGGUCUAUGUAACCCUUAGUUUAUUUGUGAAGAGAAAAAUAUCCAUGGAUUGAAUGGCGGGGUCAAUGACUCGUGGUGCUUCAUUCCCUGAGUAUACUAAGAAUGUCUGAAAACACACUAAAUGUCAUUUCAAAAAAAAAAAAAGAAUGGCAGGAUAGAGUCAAUGGAAUUAACUGUUGUAGGGGAAAGUGGCAGAGGAUAUUUGGGGAGCACUAGUGGAAAAGCUUCUUAAUGGAUGCAGCCUAGACAUUGAGUCAAUUUUGAAAAUAGUGAGAAGAGAGGAAUUUAGGUUUCUAGUAGACUACAAGUUGCUCAUGAUCAUGUUGCUGCAGAGACCAGAUCAGUGUAUAAAUCUGCAAAAGUAGAGCUUCAGCAAAAUAUCUCAACUUGUGACCUUAUGGCCUGGAAAACUGAAGGGUCAAGCUUUCCUGUCGAAGUCCAUGAAUGGAGCUGUGUGAAAAGACUCCUGGCAUGAGACCGCCAACACCAGAAACCGGAAAAUUAGAAAAAGAAGAUACAACUUUGUGGUCUCUAGUCAUUUAAUUGUCAAGAAGAGGCUAGAGACCAGUGGGGCAUGGUGUAAGGAAGGCGAGUUUAAAAAAACUGUGGGUAGGGGUUAAGAUAUGUGAGGUUAGUAAAUUCUAGUCUCGACCAUCAAGGGAAACAAAGCUGGGUGCUGGCAGGUGAAAUGGAAUAGGGAGGAAGUUUUAAGAGCAGAUUCUUGGGGGCUGGGAGUGGAAGAAUCACCAAGUCUGACAAUGGAGGCGAAAGGGAGGAAGUUUUAAGAGCAGAUUCUUGGGGGCUGGGGAGUGGAAGAAUCACCAAGUCUGACAAUGGAGGCGAAACACUAUUGUCAAAGAAUUCCUCAUAUUUCUAACUGGUGCAUAACAAUGGCACAGGGAGUAUGUGACAAGGUCUCGAGUGAAUCACUCUGCACUUCCUUAGUGAAGGAUAAAGAAGUCCAUGGACAAGGGAGAUUUGUGAUAUCAGCAUGAGUGUGGCAGUUUGUUUUUGAGAUUGCCAGCACAUGGAAUUUGGGGGUGGGAAACAAGUGCAUCAGCCAGUCCUGGGAUAUUCCCCCUGGGUGGAGCUGCCUGGUCCUUAUAAAAGGAGUCCCCAUCACAGCGCUGUCAUUGUCGUGACGGUCAUAGGUCUUCUCUGGGGCCUCAGGUGACCACAACUCUUAGAGAUCUUUGUGGAACUCGAGUGUUGGGUUUAAUCUGGCGUUAGAAGUGGCUUUAAUUGAAGCAAUUAGUGCUCUGUAUGGGAAAAGAAGAUAAUGAGGAUUUAGGGGUGAAUUUUUGGUAUUGGUCAUGAAUAUGAUCCUAAAUUUAAGGAGAAAAUGGAGUCAGAGGCACAGUCUUAACCUGAGAGAGAGUAAAGGGGGAUGAGAUACUGUGCUAUCACAGCACACAUUAGUUCCAAUUGCCCCUUCUCAGCGUUCAGUCCCACUGAGUGCCUAGUUUGGGCCUUUGCAUUUCUCCUCAGAAGCCCACAGUCAGAUUCCUUGAGACCCAGGAAGGAUGCCUCACCAUCCGCAUCCACAUCCACAUCCACAUCCACAGCAGCAGCAGCAUCAGCAUCACCAUCAGUGCAAGGAGCCCUGCCAUCCACCUCCAAAAGUGUGCCCACCGAAGUGCCAUGAGCCUUGCCCACCCCAUCCAUGCCCACCUCCAGUGAGCCAGCAGAAAUGCCCUCCUGGGCCACCAUGCCCACCAUGGGAGCAGAAGUGUCCACCCAAGUGGAAGUAACAGCACCAUGUUCCAGGCUCUUCCAUUGUCCUUCUUUCGGCCAUGGUGAUGGGUUGCGACUUCCUUAAUCUCCCUCCUGGACUGCCAGCUGACAGAGAAAAGCCUUGGUUCCUGAAUCUGACACCACGUUUGUGGAAGAGCAGUAGGAUCAUUGCUUGAUCUCUCUUUGCCAUCUGUGUGUCUGUAUCCAUGUUGCAAUCUCUACCCCAUGAGCAAAUGGUGUGUUUAUUCCUUUGCUUCUCCAAUAAAGCAUAUUCAUAGCCCAUUAGUAUUGCUUUCUUUCUUUCUUUUUCUUUUUGCAUAUAGUGUUUUUCAUCUCUUCUGUCAG